AUACGGAGGGUGCAAGCGUUAAUCGGAAUUACUGGGCGUAAAGCGCGCGUAGGCGGUUUGAUAAGUCGGAUGUGAAAUCCCCGGGCUCAACCUGGGAAUUGCAUUCGAUACUGUCAGGCUAGAGUGUGGUAGAGGGAAGUGGAAUUUCCGGUGUAGCGGUGAAAUGCGUAGAUAUCGGAAGGAACACCAGUGGCGAAGGCGGCUUCCUGGUCCAACACUGACGCUGAGGUGCGAAAGCGUGGGGAGCAAACAGGAUUAGAAACCCUAGUAGUCC
rnacentral:rRNA from 1 species